UUGAGCUUGAUCCUGGCUCAGAUUGAACGCUGGCGGCAGGCCUAACACAUGCAAGUCGAGCGGAAACGAUGGAAGCUUGCUUCCAGGCGUCGAGCGGCGGACGGGUGAGUAAUGCAUGGGAAUCUGCCCGAUAGUGGGGGAUAACCUGGGGAAACCCAGGCUAAUACCGCAUACGUCCUACGGGAGAAAGCAGGGGAUCUUCGGACCUUGCGCUAUCGGAUGAGCCCAUGUCGGAUUAGCUUGUUGGUGAGGUAAUGGCUCACCAAGGCGACGAUCCGUAGCUGGUCUGAGAGGAUGAUCAGCCACAUCGGGACUGAGACACGGCCCGAACUCCUACGGGAGGCAGCAGUGGGGAAUAUUGGACAAUGGGCGAAAGCCUGAUCCAGCCAUGCCGCGUGUGUGAAGAAGGCCCUCGGGUUGUAAAGCACUUUCAGUGGGGAAGAAAGCCUUGGGAUUAAUACUCCCGAGGAAGGACUCACCCCAGAAGAGC
rnacentral:rRNA from 1 species